rnacentral:rRNA from 1 species
CUACGGGACGCUGCAGUCAAGAACCUUCCGCAAUGGACGAAAGUCUGACGGAGCGACGCCGCGUGGUGGAUGAAGUCCUUAGGGACGUAAACACCUUUUAUAGGGGAUGAAGAUUUUGACAGUACCCUAUGAAUAAGGGGCUCCUAACUCUGUGCCAGCAGGAGCGGUAAUACAGAGGCCCCAAGCGUUACCCGGAAUCACGGGGCGUAAAGGAUGCGUAGGUGGCUACGUUAGUCGUUUGUGAAAUCCUUCGGCUCAACCGAAGGGAUGCCAAGCGAAACGGCGUAGCUAGAGGAUGUAAGAGGUAUGCGGAACUCACGGUGUAGGGGUAAAAUCCGUUGAUAUCGUGGGGAACACCAUAGGCGAAGGCGGCAUACUGGGACAUUCCUGACACUGAGGCAUGAAAGCGUAGGUAGCGAACGGGAUUAGAUACCCCUGUAGUC